AAUGAUAGUCCCUCAGAGAGCGGUCGGUCCAGGCCAGCACAAACACCAUGAACACAUCAAAGCGAUCUGUAUCAGUCCAACCUGCCGGUCUAAUGCAAACACACACAUAGCUGAUUGAUAGCAGUGGGCUCAGUUUUCUAAACGUUAAAACUCAAUCAGUUUAGGUCAAGUUUAAACUUCAAGUAGUUUAAAUGAUCUCCAAACUACAGAGAUGUUGCUUGAAAGAGAGAAUACGUGAAAAACAUUUUAUGUUCAAUAAGCUUUAUAUUUCUACAGGUCACACUAUUUACCAUAUUAAACAUAAAAGCAAAAUUAUGUUUUCUUGUCUAAUUGUUGCCUGUUGGCAACAUUGUGCCAUUUUGGAAGAACCUAUUGAAAUUAAUUUGUCAAAUAACUAUUUUAGUUAUUAGUUUUUUUUUCACAAUUUAAUCAAGAUGAUGUGAUGAAAAAGAAGGUAGAAAUUACAGUGCUGUGGGAAGCUGCAACAUUAUUUGUGUUAAACAAUAAAAAUGUAUAUUUUUCUUGUUUCUCUUUUCUCAGAUUCUCUGCCAACAACCAUCAAACGAUGCUUGAAGCUAACAGAAGGAAACUAGGAUCAGUGAAGGGCCAGCUUCUUCCACAGGGGAGGAAAUAUUAGAAAUGACACCCCAACAAUAGUAUGACAAGGGGUUAUGAAUCAUUGAAACUAAAGAGUAGUCCUGACUGAUUCUUCUCAACUAUAACAAAUUAAAUGAGGUUAAUUGGAAAUGGUAAAGUCCUCUGUGACUACCAACAGUUUUAUGGACAAUUUAAUCCGAUUUCAGCGCAAAAGUCAAACUUUUUAAAACAAUUUCUCAAACUACAGGCACAAACUAUGAUGUAUUUCAUUGGGAUUUAAUGUGAUAGACCAACACAUGAUGUAUAAUUGUGAAGUGGAAGGGAAAUUAUUGAGGGCUUUGUACAGUUAACCGAAGCAGAGGACCUACAGACUGGUUUCAGCUCAUUUCUCAGUGAAAACAAAUUAUUAUAUAACUAACAAGUGCAACUGAUGAGGGAUCAGAGACCUCAAUGUUAAACUGAACUGAGCACAUCACAUUUUAAAGGGUAAAGGUAACUGAUGUACACGGAAGAAUGUUUUGUUUUUUUAGAUUUUGACAGAUUCACACAGAAUUAGAUUUCUGAGAAAAAGGUCAAAAUUUAGAGAUUAGAGUCCUAAUUUUUUUCCAGUAUCCCUCUCCCGUAGAUUUUAGCUUGUGUUUUAACAAAAAAUGUACGAAUGGUUCUAGUGACACAAUAAUCUGACUUUUAUGCUUGUUUUUCAUAGUUUUAGGCUUGCUUAAGCAGACACCUCUGUGUGUGUAGACGGUGCCGCUGGCCAAGAACAGCUAAUCCCAUUUAACACAAACAUUACAACGGCUAAGUUUUACUGACACGUCUGAAAAUUGUUCUGUGGACCAAAACGUUCGGUCAGCUGAAGCAAAGAAACACAAGCUGGAGUCGUUCUGGUCUUUCCUAAAUGUUCUCUACUUAUUUACAGCUAGAAUGCCUUGAAGUUUUUUUUUCAGUCUGUAUUGUGGAGGAUUUUCCUCCAGAGAAUAAAUCGAAGAAUUUUUGUUUCAAGCUGGAAAUUCCUGUAAAGGUCAAAUUGGUCUCUAACAAGCACACACACAAAUCAAUAAGCAAAUGAAAUGAUAAAAGACUCUAAAGCCUUCCUUCUUGCUGACAUUUCUGUCUUGCCUGCUGAGGGGAAGUUUUGAUACGAGGGCCCCCCUAGGUGGAGGAUGGGGGUCCACUCUUUCUCUGUCUUCCCCUUCCACUCAGCCUAAAUGAGGGCUUUUUUGCAGCUGUUGGUGGGGGGUGUCUGCUCCAGGAAGAAUGAGGACUUCCUGUGGAGGGCCUUUAAGAGCGAGGCUGAAGGGUCUGUCGCACGCUCACUCUCUCUCUCCCACAGUUUGUCUCGAUGUCUCUCGCCCGUCCUAAAUGGGGUCAAGCUUCAAACCAGGACCAGCUGCUUUCAAAGACCCUAAAGAGCAGUUUUCCACCUGCCCUUUUCUCCCCUCCCUCCAUAACCUUUUCAUCACAUUUUCUUGUUCGCUUUUCAUUCCUCUCUCCACUUCCUUUCCAUCCCAUCGACAGUGAUGCAUCCAUGCGCUCGUUUACGGAAGGGACAAUAUUUCUGAGAUGAUUAAGGAAACAAAGAGACAACGUAGAGUGCUGUGAAAAACUUGAGAUUUAUUCUGGUUUUGCUGUUUUGUCACACUUAGAUGUUUCAGAUCUGAAAAGCAGUUGGAGUGUUUUGGCUGUCAACACUUCCAGAUGGCCAGCAAUGAAACAUAAAGAGCAUGUUUAAGGUUCAUUUGAAUUGGAUUUUAGUUCAGACUUUGACUAGACCAUUACAAAACUUCAUUUUUGUAUUAUUCAGAGGCAGCCUUGCCUUGAUGCUUUGGAUCCUCAUCCUCCUGUUGAACCACAGUGUGACUGUGGUUAAGGUCCAGUACUGCAAGCCAAGCAAGCCCAAACCAUCAUACUGCCACUACCAUGUUUUAGGUGAAAUGCAACAUGACUAACAUUUUUCUAACAGGCCCGUUUUUUUCUUGUCAUUUCACAGAAUAUUUUCUGGGAAUUUUGGGGAUCAUCUAUGUUUUUUGGCAAAGGGGAGAACAGUGUGGAGUAGGUAAAGAGGCUGGUGGACAUCUCUGGAUUCAGCAUCAGCAGUCUGACAUUAGCCGCUAUUGUUUCUCUGGGAGAUGAAGAGAAAGAGAACAGCUGUUCAGCACAGAAGCAUCAGAAAGUCGAAGCCUGACGUCAUGAGGCAGAAAAAAGGUCAUCAGUAAAGAACAGUAGCAGCACAGAAACAGAAAUACAUAUUGAGUUGGAAUAGUUAUGUGUAAAUGAGGUGUUUUCAUUGAACCUGGACAAAAAUACUUCAUAAAAUUAUUCAAAUCAAUUUGUUUUUUGUGAAUUUUAAUUUAUUUUAAACAGUUUACUAUUUUUUUACUCUAUUUUAUGAUGUUCCUCUGAAAGUGUACUACUCUCCUCACACCUUCAUAUUUUCACUUUCCAAUCCUCCAGCAUCCUCACACUGAUCACUAAAGACUCCUAUUAUCUUGUCUACACCUGUGAUCAGAACAAAUGCACAGUCCCAGCUAAUGACAAGCCCCCCGGCUGACCCGCUGACCCACAUCACAAUGAAGAAAGAAGCAGAUCGCAACAGCUGGGCAAUAAGAUGAAGGGCUUGCUUUGGGUGAUGAGAUAAAACGAGUUACAAGACGGUAAUGGAGAGUUCAAGAGCAAGACAGGAGGACGACAAGAGGAGAUAAGAGGUUAAAGGAAGUGAAAGGACUGCAGAGUUUGUAUUGGGCAUAAAGGGAAGUAGUAAAACGGAAACUGGGUUGGGAAUAAAGACCUAAAAUUUCCAUCCA